UGUUGAAGAAAGGUGGAUAACAACUUAUUGAUAUUAUUGAAUUUUGGCAAAUCCUUUCUGAUCAUUCUCUUUAACUUCUUCUCCCUUUAAUUAUUUCAAACCCAAAAAAAAAAAAAAAAAUUCUUACAAUUUUGCCUUUGUCACUUCUCCUUCUUCCUCAAACACUCAGCGUACUUCUGUUCUUUAAUACUAUUUUUUUGUAUUCUGAGAAAGUUUGUUCUUUUAUUUUAUUGUGUUAGCUUCCUGUGUCUUUGGGUUUUUCUCUGCGUGUGAUGCCUUUUGUUUGGUGAGUAGGAUAAGUAGUUUUGAUGUUUAAUAGGGAAAGUUUAAUGUUUGGUAUUGAUGCCUGAGCUGUGUGUGAAUAGAUUUAAAAGGUGGACUUAUUUUGGUGUGCUGGGAAUUUGGAUCCUAAAGUUUCUGGAAAUUUCUUGAAUUUUGGAGAAUUGGAGUAUAGAUUGGUUGAUUGUGGAAUGAGUUAAGAGUGACGGUUGAUAUUUUUGGGAUUCUGAACUGAAGAGUUAUCAAUUAUCCAAAUCAAAUUAUUCAAGUUCGGGUUCUAACAACGCUAUUUUGAGGCUUCGCAGGAAGAUAUUAUAACUUUGGCGUCCAGAAAACAGAAAGCCAUUGGUAGCAGAAGGGUGGCUGACCAUUUUAUGGGAAGAUCAAAAUUUGCAAAACAAUGGAACUCCAAAUAGAACCAUGUAUACAGCAGCACCGUGAUGACGAAACUGGAAAUGACGUUGACGAUUUGGAAAAAAAUAAUGUUAGUACUUUUUUAGGACACAUUUUGCAACAGAAACUACUGCAUCAAUACUAUGCUCUAGAUCCUAUUCGUUCCAGGAGUUCCGUAUGAUGAUUUCCCAAAGUUUGCUUCAGACAUGCCAGAACAGGCGAACCUGUUGUUUCUUCAUAAGGAAAAUGUGCACGUAGAGCAGAUUCAUGAAGGAAAAUAGACAUGAUCUUUGAUUGCUGAUACGAAUGUGCAAAGUUCGAAUAUAACCACGAAAAAAUGAAGUUGGCUAAUUUAUCUUUUGUAAUUAACUCAAAGAAACAGCCAGGGUUCAUAUGGUCCUUGGAUGUGUCAACAUAUUACGGAAGCCGUAAUAUUCUCUUCUGGAAAAUGAAAAAGUAUAUAACAUUGGCCGUUAUAUAAAAUUAUGGGAUCAAACAUAGUAGUUGUUCAUCUGUUAGGAGUGUUUUCGAUAUAUAUUUUUAUUUUGUAUGGAAAGUUACAAAUCUUGGUGAACCCAUAGCUGACACUAGUUACAUAUAUUUUGGUUUGCCAAAA